AAUGAAGGCUAGAUAGCUUUAGAAGGUAACUCACUUGUGAAGCUCUUCAAUAGGAAAAUGCGAUCACGAAAAAGUUUGAACCCCCCAAACCAGACCUGAAUUGUAGACUUUUCAAGCUCUCCAGAAAAGACAUCAGAACAGAUGAAAAGAUCCAGCGAAGGGUGAGAUCUCAGAACAAGAAAGCAAUUAUGUUGGGGAGAACUCAUGGAGUCAACCGCUUUACAAUGAAUUUGCGGUACGCUUCCCGAAUCCAUAUCAAAUCACAAGGCAAAUCACGAGAGCUGGAGUCAAGAUCAUUAUUUUCGCCCUCAGGAUUUAAGUUCAUCUGUUGAAACAAAAAAUUUCCCCUUGCGAGCAACGGAAGAACCGUCAGCAGUCAUUGACACACUUCCAUCAACAUCAAAGCGAAAGAACAAGGAAGUGAUCACAAAAGUGCCUCCCAAAAUGAACUUCUAGUGCACCCACUGCAACACACACUUCCCACUGCUUAAAGAGAAGAACGCACAUAUGAUUAAACAACACGGUUAUUAUAAGCGUGUUAACCGUCGACCGAUGCGUGACCCACCGACAUCAACUUUUACCACAGCAACUCUGAAAUCUGAAUGCAGUUGAUCCCGCUUCUGGAGCUGCUCCUUUGUUACUUGGCUUGGAUGGACUUGCACCACCAUCCUUGCCAACUGGCGAAGAUGAUGAAGACUCCAAAGCGGCAAUUGUUAAAAUCGAACAAGAAAACCAAGAUUGCAAGAAUAAAAAUCUAUCGAACUUGGCCAUAAGUAGCAACAAAGUAACAUAUUCGUCAACAGCGGCGACAAAUUGUGCAAGAAGUGCAUCACGCACCAAAUAUGACUCGAUGCGGGCACGAGAUAUUGUAGAGAUAGGUUUGUGCAUGAGAAUAGCUUGCGGCGUCAUAUAAGACUUGCGCACUCUGACAAAUUCGAUUACACCGAACCGAUGGAGUGUCCCAUGUGUAAGCAAAUAUAUGCCAAAUCCAGUAUCAAAGCCCACAUGACCACUCGAUGGAUACGCAACACGAGUGUCUGAUUUGUAGUAGAGUUGGGCACUUUAGUUCAUUUGAGUGAUCGAUCAUUUUAGUUCAAAUCGCGCUACUGAACUAGUUCUGAACUAGCUAGUUCAUUUUAGUUCAAUUUAUUUUAAGCACUCCUGUUUUGUUAGAAUUAAAAUUAGUUUGUACAAACUGUAUCCAAAUUUAUGUAAAAUUGACGCAUUCUACAUAAUAAAACAAAUAUAACCUAAAAAUAACAGAU